rnacentral:rRNA from 1 species
GUAGGGAAUAUUGCACAAUGGAGGAAACUCUGAUGCAGCGACGCCGCGUGAGCGAUGAAGGCCUUCGGGUUGUAAAGCUCUGUCGCAUGGGAAUAAGACAGUGAAUGUACCAUGCAAGAAAGGAUCGGCUAACUUCGUGCCAGCAGCCGCGGUAAGACGAGGGAUCCUAGCGUUGUUCGGAAUUAUUGGGCGUAAAGCGGGUGCAUGUGGCUUUGUAAGUCAGGUGUGAAAGCCCAGGGCUCAACCCUGGAAGUGCAUUUGAUACUGCGAAGCUUGAGUGCUGGAGAGGUAAGUAGAAUUCCUGGUGUAGUGGUGAAAUACGUAGAUAUCAGGAGGAAUACCGGAGGCGAAGGCGGCUUACUGGCCAGACACUGACACUCAGACCCGAAAGCGUGGGGAUCAAACAGGAUUAGAUACCCUAGUAGUCC